UGGUCCCCUCGCGACAAUAAACCGUGAACCCGGUCAGGCCUGGAAGGGAGCAGCCGCAGCGGUGGACUUGGGCGCCGGGGUGUGGCUGG
rnacentral:SRP_RNA from 1 species